CACGUAGGCACCAAGCGUUGUCCGGAUUUAUUGGGCGUAAAGAGCUCGUAGGCGGUUGAGUAAGUCGGGUGUGAAAACUCUGGGCUUAACCCAGAGCCGCCACCCGAUACUGCUCUGACUUGAGUUCGGUAGGGGAGCAGGGAAUUCCUAGUGUAGCGGUGAAAUGCGCAGAUAUUAGGAGGAACACCGGUGGCGAAGGCGGGUCUCUGGGCCGAUACUGACGCUGAGGAGCGAAAGCGUGGGAGCGAACAGGAUUGAGAGUACCCGGGUAGUCCAGCACCGAAUAUGCCUC
rnacentral:rRNA from 1 species